AAGAUGCUCCCUGCAUGGACCAUUGCUUGUGGGCACAACAAGGUGGCAGAAAGCAACUCAAAGAAUGAAAAGGCGUGACUUCUGGAGCUUCAGAAGACUCACGUGCGAUGUUCCUUGGACAAACCCCUGCCUUCCACGGUGGUGGCGGUCUCUCACCGUAGCUGUCACCUUUCUUAAGGCAGGUAGAGCAAAGCCUGACAGCUAGAUAUUGUUUGAACCAGGGGGAGCUCUUCCUGCUGCGCACGGUCAACUGUCACAGUA